rnacentral:other from 1 species
GACGUUGGUGACUGCCAAUAAAGUUUGUUGAUCUAUGUCGGUUUAUAUAAGGGAAUCAAGCGUUCUCGUGUCAGUAAACCGGGCGUGUACCCGGAAACUUAAAAUGAGAGCCUACGAUGCCCACCUGGUUUUCCAGGUCAUAAACUGAGGUAAGACGGCGUU